UACGGAGGGUGCAAGCGGUAAUCGGAAUUACUGGGCGUAAAGCGUGCGUAGGUGGUUUGUUAAGUCUGAUGUGAAAGCCCUGGGCUCAACCUGGGAAUUGCAUUGGAUACUGGCAGGCUAGAGUGCGGUAGAGGAUGGCGGAAUUCCCGGUGUAGCAGUGAAAUGCGUAGAGAUCGGGAGGAACAUCUGUGGCGAAGGCGGCCAUCUGGACCAGCACUGACACUGAGGCACGAAAGCGUGGGGAGCAAACAGG
rnacentral:rRNA from 1 species